UGAAUGGCUUGGUGUAGUUAAAGGGUGAAGGCCUGUCCCUUGCACUGUGGACAGGCUGACCCCUGCAAAAAUCUACAAAUGCCUCCAAAUGCAAGGAUCUCAGAUACACAAUUUUUGGUGGUGGGGGAUUGCUCUUGGGUUUUCCCUCU
rnacentral:snRNA from 14 species